GAUUCCGCAAAAGCAGAGAUGGAGGCGGAGUUAAGAUGGCGCUAAACAGUGACUCCUUUGCUUACACCUUUGGAAACAGCUCUGUUUCCAUCUUAAAUAUCUUUAUUUUUCCCUUUCAGGGUUCUUUUGAAGAUCCUGACCUGGAGUUACACGCUGACUUCGGUUCUUUGCGGGAAUGGGACCCGUUCUCGGGGUUUCCGAACUGGCCGUUGUUUGGCACGCCAAGGGUUCGACCAGAGAGUCCGCAAGAAAAUAGGAAGAAGCUGGUCCUGAACUACGCUGGACUUGAAAGACUGAUUCUCCUUUGUCUAUCUUGCCUGUUACUUCCUCAAAGAAUUCCAACAAAUUUGCCAGAGCCACACCACCGCCUAUGCCUUCCUGCCUGUCCUUUCGGUACGAAGUAUAUCCAAUCAGGCCGUCAGGUCAGCGGAUUCAAGCCGGGUUGUUGGGCCUGUGGACUUGAUCUGGGCUGUCGGGCCUGUGGGUUUGAGCCAGGCCAACAGGUCUGGGGAUUUGAGCUGGUCAGGCUGCAGGACAAAACGGAUUGGUUUUGGAAGUGCUGACCGGGGUUCAGACAAUGUUGGUGCCUUUGAGUUGGUGUGAAGGCAGUGUGCAAUUUAACUGUGAGUGACCGUCUUGGUCAAUUCUUUUGUCUGUUGGACAUUAAUUGCCACAGGCAUGCUUCCCUUGUUUUGUGACAUAACAGGUGGCGAGGCAGCAGUGUUGCCUCGGUUGUAGUUAGGACUGGGCCUCAGUCCCUGGGGUUACAUUGUAAUGUGGUGUUUAGACUCAGUUGGGGGUGACGUCUCCUGUUGGUGCUGCCCUCCAGUGUUAGAUUGGUGGAAUUACAGGCUGGAAUGCCAGGAACCAUCAAUUUGCGGACUUGUCGCUCAGGGACUUGGGAAAAAAAAUUGUUUUCUUACAUGACUAUGUUCUUUUUUUUCUCUUUCUUGUUACUUUGAAUACGUGUGUGUGCUUUUGCACCUUGGCCCCAGAGGAAAACUGUGUCAUUCUGCCUUAUCCAUGUAUGAUUUGAAUGACAAUUAAACUCGAUUUGAUUGAUUUGAUUUUGAUAAGUCUUGAAAUUUGUUAACUUUGGGGCAGCAGUACAUUGCAAAACAUGAUAAUAUAGAAAAAUAAACUGUGAAUUAUGGAAAAAUAUACUAAAUAGUUAAAACAACUAAGUAGUACAAAAACAGAAAUAAGAAAAGGAGUGAGGCUGUGUUCAUGAAUUCAAUGUCUAUUUAGGAAUCGGAUGGCAGAAGGGAAGAAGCUGUUCCUGAAUCCCUGAGUAAGAGCCUUCAGGCUUUUGUACUUCCUUCCUGACAGUAAUAAUGGGAAGAGAGCAUAUCCUGCGUGGUGGGAAUCCUUAAUAAUGGACACUGCCUUCCCAAGACGUUGCUCCUUGAAGAUGUCUUGGAUACUACAGAGGGGUUUAAAUCUUAUCCUUCUCACCUUAAUUCUAUGGCCCUCUCAUACUGGAGUCCCUUUCUUAUGCUCCAAGAAAUGCAGUUCUAACCUCCACAACUUCCCCUUGAGUACUGGCAACAGUCUUGCAUAUCUCUCUUGGACUCUUUCCAUUUUAAAUGUAUUGUUCCUAUAAGAGCCCAACCAAACCUGCACACACUAUUCCAGGUAGAACUUCACCAAGGCCAUGUGCAUAACGUUCCAACACCUGUACUCAGUGCCCUGACUGAUGAAGGCCAGUGUGUCAAAUACUUUCUUCAACUUCAGUACUUGUGAUAUUACUUUCAGGGAACUAUAUAUUUGUACUUCUGUCAUAGCAGCAACUACAUUCUACAUUGGUAUCUGAAGCACGGUGAUACUUGCCCAGCAUAAUUCUAGCUGAUUUAUCAUAGUCAUAGUCAUACUUUAUUGAUCCCGGGGGAAACUGGUUCUCGUUACAGUUGCACCAUAAAUAAUAAAUAGUAAUAGUAAUGUUACGAUUAGUAAAUAGUAAUAGUCAGGGAAAUAAUAAAUAGUAAUAGAAAAUAGUAAUAAAUAGUUAAAUAGUAAUAUGUAAAUUAUGCCAGUAAAUUAUGAAAUAAGUCCAGAACCAGCCUAUCGGCUCAGGGUGUCUGACCCUCCAAGGGAGGAGUUGUAAAGUUUGAUGGCCACAGGCAGGAAUUACUUCCUAUGACGCUCUAUGCUGCAUCUCGGAGGAAUGAGUCUCUGGCUGAAUGUACUCCUGUGCCCACCCAGUACAUUAUGUAGUGGAUGGGAGACAUUGACCAAGAUGGCAUGCAACUUAGACAGCAUCCUCUUUUCAGACACCACCGUGAGAGAGUCCAGUUCUAUCCCCACAACGUCACUGGCCUUACGAAUGAAUUUGUUGAUUCUGUUGGUGUCUGCUACCCUCAGCCUGCUGCUCCAGCACACAACAGCAAACAUGAUCGCACUGGCCACCACAGACUCGUAGAACAUCCUCAGCUGAUAUGAUACUAUAUGUUUUCUCUGUAUGUUUUGAUGUACAUGUAAUAAAUAAAGCUAAUCAUCUUCUUCACAAUCUACCUCCUUAUGGCCUUUCUACUUACUUUCUGCCUUAUAGCACUCUCUCUGUAACUAUAACUUGUUAUUCUGCUGUCUGUUAUUGCUUUCCCUGAUAGUACCUUGAUAUGCUGCUAUAAUGAAGUGAUCUUGAUGUCCUGAUGAAGGGUCUCGGCCCAAAACGUCGACUGUUUACCCUUUUCCAUAGAUGCUGCCCGGCCUGCUGAGUUCCUCCAGCAUUUUGUGUGUGCUGCUUGGAUUUCCAUCAUUAGCAGAUUUUCUCCUGUUGAGGAAAUGAUCUGCAUGGAUAGCUUGCAAAAUAAAGUCUUUCACCGUACUUUGGUACAUUCAAGACUCAAAAGAUUCAAAGUGUACUUAUUAUAGAAGUAUUUAAGCAGUAUACAACCAUGAGAUUCAUCUUUCCAUAGACGGUCGCAAAACAAAGAAAACCAUGGAACUCAUUCAAAGAAAGACAUCAAAUCCCACAACAUGGGGAAAAAAAUCCAGAUUGCACAAAUGGCAAAAAUGAGCGAAAAAGACAGAAAAUAAAACAUCAAAUCACAAGAUCAUUGAAAUAGUCUCAGAAUGUUCAGUUCAGCUCAGUUCAAUUCAAUUUAGUGCUGUGGUGUCCAUUGACUGCAGGCCAUCAUAAACAAAUGAGCCUUUUAACUUCCUGAGGUAGUUGGGACUGCAUGCAUUCAGGGUUUAGCUUGUAUAAGGUGAUUUAAAAUGUGGACAUAAGAAAAUACAGAUGCCGAAAUCUGGAGCAACAAGCAAACUGCUGGUUGAACUCAAUGGGUCAGGCAGCAAAGAGGGUAAUAGGUCCAUUGCUCCUUUAUAAAGAGGUUCUGGAUUCCCAUCCAUCAACUCCCCUCUUCCCACUCCUGGGGCUCAGACAAACCAUAGAUAGGUAAGUUGGCCAUAUCAGUUCACUCCUCCGAUGGUGUGCUCAGCGCCUACAUUUAUAUCCUUCCGAGUUUCCCAAAGUCUCUGACAAAUAUGUCCCAUUCAGAACAGAAAUGUGAAGUCAUUUUUUUAGUCAGAGGGUGGUGAAUCCAUGGAAUUUGUUGCCACAGGCAGCAGUGGAGGCCAAGUCAUUGGGUGUAUUUAAGGCAGAGAUUGAUAGGUAUCUGAGUAGCCGGGGCAUCAAAGGUUAUGGUGAGAAGGCAGGGGAGUGGGACUAAAUGGGAGAAUGGAUCAGCUCAUGAUAAAAUGGCGGAGCAGACUCGAUGGGCCGAAUGGCUGACUUCUGCUCCUUUGUCUUAUGGUCUUGUGUCACAUAAAGAGACACAGCAGAGAAACAGAACCUUCAGUCUGCAAGGUCAAUGUCAACCAUCAAACACCUGUUUUACCUUAAUCCCAUGGCAUGUCCACAAUUGCUAACCCUUACUGAAAGGUGAGGGGAAACCAGAGCACGUGGAGGCAGGCCAUGUGGUCAGAGGGAGAAUGUACAAACUUCUUACAGACGGUGGCUGGAAUUCAACCCUGAUUGCUGAUGCUGUGUGGUGUCACAUUAACUGCUGUGGUACCAUGCCAUGUAACUAUGUGGAUGUUGGAUGUGAAAAGUAACUGGAGCAAUCAGUGCUGUCACAGGGAGAAGGCACAAUCUCCUCACGGACACCAGUGAGGUCAGGACUGAACUUUCUGGUGCAGUCAGGCAGUGCCUCUACUAGGUAGAUUAUCAUUUGAAGUGCAAACCAAUUAGUAUAGUAUAGAUGGCCUGUGGCCGUCGAACUUUGCAGCUCCUCUCAUGGAGGGUCAGACACCCUGAGCCAAUAGGCUGGUCCUGGACUUACUUCCAUCUGGCAUAGUUUGCAUAUUGUUGUUUGAUUGUUUGUGGUUUUUGUAUUGCUAUAUUUAUGCUCUAUUCUUAGUUGGUGCAGCUGUAACGAAACUCAAUUUCCCUCGGGAUCAAUAAAGUAUGUCUUUCUCUAUACAGGAUUUUGUUCAUACCCGUUCAUUGCUUGUUCCUGACAGGAGUGACUUAUCAGAGUCAUAAGGUCAUAAAGCAUGGAACCAGGCCCUUUGACUUACCUGCUCCGUGCCCACUAAGUUUCUCAUCCAAGAUAGUCCCAUUUGCCGAUGUUUGUCCCAUAUCCCUCUAAAGCAGAGGUUCCCAACCUGGCUGCAUGGUUCCCUCAGUCAAUAGUAGGAGUCCACAGCAUUAAAAAGUUUGGGAAGCCCUGCUCUAAAGCACUCCUAUCCAGGUAUCUAUGCAAGUACAUUUUAAAUGUUGUCGAUGUACCUGCUUCAACCACUCCCCCCAGUAGUUCCUUCUAUAUAUUGUAUCUGUACAGUAUUCCAUUUACCUGCUUGAAAAGUCGGACCCUCAUGCUCCUAUCUCUUCCCUCUAACCUUAAACCUAUGCUCCCUAGUUCCUGAUUCUCCACCUCUGGUAUAAAGACUGUGUGCAUUCACCCUAUCUAUGUCCCUCUACAGGAACACUGUUCUUUCUCCUAAACUUCAAUGAAAAAUGUCCCAAAGUGCUUAGCCUCUCUCUUGAACUCAGUUACCCAUGCCCUUGCAUCCUCCUUACCAAUCUCCUCUGCAUUUUUUCCUGUUUAAUAGUGUCUUCCCUGUAGCAGGGCGACCAAAACUGAACACAAUAUUCCUAAUAUGGUCUCACAAAUGUCUUGUACAACUGCAAAGUACCUAACUUUUGUACUAACUGAUAAAGGCCAGCUUGUCAAAAGCCUUCUUCACCACCCUGCCUACCUGGAACACUACUUGCAGGGAACCAGGCACAUAUAGAUAACUUACUGUAAAUGACUUACUCUUGUGAAAUAUGUUUGACAAAAACCAAGGGAAAUAACAUCCCAUUUGGCAUAGGUUCUUCUGCAAGGAAGGUUUUAACAGAAAAUUCUUCUUUUCUGGGUUUUCUUCAUAACUUAGGCUUGUAAGGCACAGGACACUUCCUAUCAAGGCCUAAUAAUUUCAGAGUGGCUUAUGUUACCUGAUUUUUGAAGUGACUCACUUCAAAAGGGUUUUACCAUCAAAGACAGUCCCUGCUUAGAGAACUCUAUCCCCUUCAUUAGAGACUUAAGUCAUGCUGUGAUUUGCACAGCAAGGUUCCGACUUAUUUAGUGAAAAUAGAGUAUUGGUUUUCCUUCUUAAUGGUGGACUAGUAAAACCUACCUCAACACACUGCCAUGGCCAGUUAGGUUGCUGAGUGGUCUUUGAGAGAUUGUUCCAUUCAUAGAAGUUAAGAUCAUAUAUUUGAUAUUUGAAUCAAUUUUAAAGUAAUCCUUUAUAUCUGGAGAAAUUUCUGAAAUGCCCGCUUCGCUGCCGCUGCUACUGUGCAAUCGAGAAUCUCCGGAGGGGAAGGCCCCAAUUCCUCGGCUUUGCCUAUUGCUGGGGUCGAAGCGCUUGGCAGAGGUGGUGCUCGGUGCUCGGUGUCGGAGGGCUGGUCGGAGGCUCGAAGUUUUCGGAUGGACUCAAGAGUCGGCUGUGGUCGGGUGCUUCCAGGGUGCUGCAUCGGCAAGUUAGCGGCGCUGGAAGCUUAUGGCAGGGAGAGUUUUUCUUCCUUCUACAGUCUGCGUGAGAUGAUGGGGCUUUUGAGAGACUUUGAGACUUUUUUUUUACCGUGCCCAUGGUCUGUUCUUUAUCAAAUCACGGUAUUGCUUUGCACUGUUGCAACUAUAUGUUAUAAUUAUGUGAUUUUUGUCAGUUUUUCAGUCUUGGUUUGUCUUGUUUUCUGUGAUAUCAUUCUGGAGGAACAUUGUUUCAUUUCUUAA